rnacentral:rRNA from 1 species
GACGAACGCUGGCGGCAUGCCUAAUACAUGCAAGUCGAGCGGACAGAAGGGAGCUUGCUCCCGGAAGUCAGCGGCGGACGGGUGAGUAACACGUGGGCAACCUGCCCCUUAGAUUAGGAUAACUUCGGGAAACCGAAGCUAAUACCGAAUAAUACAAGGAACCUCCUGGUUCUCUGUUGAAAGAUGGCCUUUGUGCUGUCACUAAGGGAUGGGCCCGCGGCGCAUUAGCUAGGUGGUAAGGUAACGGCUUACCAAGGGGACGAUGCGUAGCGGACCUGGGAGGGUGAUCGGCCACACUGGGACUGAGACACGGCCCAGACUCCUACGGGAGGCAGCAGUAGGGAAUCUUCCGCAAUGGACGAAAGUCUGACGGAGCAAUGCCGCGUGAGUGAGGAAGGCCUUCGGGUCGUAAAGCUCUGUUGUGAGGGAAGAACAAGUACCGGCGUAACUACCGGUACCGUGACGGUACCUCACCAGAAAGCCACGGCUAACUACGUGCCAGCCGCCGCAGUAA